rnacentral:rRNA from 1 species
CAUGCUGUAAACGAUGAUUACUAGGUGUGGGAGGACUGACCCCUUCCGUGCCGCAGUUAACACAAUAAGUAAUCCACCUGGGGAGUACGAUCGCAAGAUUGAAACUCAAAGGAAUUGACGGGGGCCCGCACAAGCAGUGGAGUAUGUGGUUUAAUUCGAAGCAACGCGAAGAACCUUACCAGGUCUUGACAUCGAGUGAACAGUCUAGAGAUAGAUUGGUCCUUCGGGACACAAAGACAGGUGG